UGAAGGAUUUCUUCGGAUGUGGGCGCAUAUACGUAAAUAGACGUCACGAUAAUCAUCGUGAAGAUCUGUAUCGAUACUGCGUCCGUUCGUUGGAGGAACUGAGGACGAAGAUCGUUCCGUUCUUUCAGCGAAAUAGGCUGAAGACCUCCAAGGCUAGGGAAUUCGAAAGGUUCGUACAGGUGCUCGACCUCAUUGAGGCCGGUAAGCACCUUACGGAUGAAGGACUUGCAGAGAUCGAGCGGAUAAUUCAGCACAUGAACCUCCGUUCUCGGUCUUCAGAAUCCUCAGAGACUGUACGCCGAGCGCCCCACAGGGGUGAAGAUACAGUCCGAGCCUCCGGGCGACCGGAGGAGGCGGGGCGAAAGUCCCGUCCGCCUGCACAAGCAGGUCAGUAGGGUAUCAGCCCGAAAGUAACAGAACUGAGCGAAGUUCCUUGUCGGGUAAGUUCCGACCCGCAUGAAAGGUUCAACGACUUGGGCGCUGUCUUGACCGGAUGCUCGGUGAAAUUGAAGCACAGGUGUAAACGCCUGUGACCCGCGGCUGGACAAAAAGACCCCGUGGAGCUUUACUAUAGCAUGGCACUGGGUUUUGGCAUUCGUUGUGUAGGAUAGGUGGGAGGCGAUGAAGCUGGGGCGCCAGCCUCGGUGGAGCCGUCCUUGGAAUACCACCCUGCGGGUGUUGAAACUCUAACCGUCGGCCGUUAGCAGCGGUCGCGGGACAGUGCUAUGUGGGUAGUUUGACUGGGGCGGUCGCCUCCUAAAGAGUAACGGAGGCGCACAAAGGUCUCCUCAGGCUGGUUAGCGAUCAGCCAACGAGCGUAAGGGUAUAAGGAGGCUUGACUGCGAGACCUACAAGUCGAGCAGGUGCGAAAGCAGGUCCUAGUGACCCAGUGGCACUUUGUGGAAGGGCCACUGCUCAUCGGACAAAAGUUACCCCGGGGAUAACAGGCUAGUCUUCCCCAAGAGUUCACAUCGACGGGAAGGUUCGGCACCUCGAUGUCGGCUCAUCCUAUCCUGGGGCUGAAUCAGGUCCCAAGGGUCCGGCUGUUCGCCGGUUAAAAGGGUACGCGAGCUGGGUUCAGACCGUCGUGAGACAGGUCGGUCUCUAUCCACCGUGGGCGUAGGAGACUUGAGGGGGACUGUCCCUAGUACGAGAGGACCGGGACAGCUGAACCGAUGGUGUACCAGUUGUUCCGCCAGGAGCAUCGCUGGGUAGCCAAGUUCAGUUAGGAUAAGCGCUGAAGGCAUCUAAGCACGAAGCCGUCCCCAAGACGAGGUCUCCACAUCAGGCCCCUCCGAGACUAGGAGGUUGAUAGGCCGCAGGUGUAAGCGCAGCAAUGCGUUCAGCCGAGCGGUACUAAUCGGCCGAGGCUUGUAU
rnacentral:rRNA from 1 species